CGGANUUAUUGGGUUUAAAGGGUGCGCAGGCGGGAGAUUAAGUCAGCGGUGAAAUUUUGCAGCUNAACUGUGAAACUGCCUUUUAAACUGGUUUCCUUGAGUGUGGAUGAAGUAGGCGGAAUUUGUGGUGUAGCGGUGAAAUGCAUAGAUAUGUCGAGGAACUCCGAUUGCGCAGGCAGCUUACUGAGCCAUAACUGACGCUCAUGCACGAAAGCGUGGGGAUCAAACAGGAUUAGAUACCCUGGUAGUCCACGCCCUAAACGAUGAUUACUCGCUGUUUGCGAU
rnacentral:rRNA from 1 species